rnacentral:lncRNA from 1 species
ACUAAAAAGUUUCCAUGAUAAAACAAUGUAUGUGUAUACACAUCACUAUAGUAAUAGGCUUGCCUUGCAACCUACAUCUGCAAAUUUGCUUUUAAAAUAUGUCAGAAUGCUAAAACUUAGAUGUGAAAAUUGUGUGUGUAUGUGUGUUUGAAUGAACCUUUUAUUUUAGAAUAGGAAACAUGGUAGUUAUGGCAAACAAAAUAUAGAAAGAUUGGCUUAAAAAUUUGAAUGGAUUUUGAGAAAAAGCUACUUUGGGAGCCUUUUUUUGUAAACAUUUCAUUUUUUGUGGGAUAUGAAUCAUGUGUUGGAAUCACCUGAUUUAGCUGUGGUAUAACUAAGUCUGGAGGUUUUGGGGGACACUCUGUUUUUAAACUUCCCUACCACCAAUCAUGAUUAUGGUUACAUGAGAUUCGUGUCUUAAAAAAAGAGAUCUGUGUCCCAAAGCUCUGGAAUUAUUUAAACCAUGUACUUUGGAAGCUCAUCUUUGUUCUGUUUGAGCCAUAAUGUUAUGUCUACUUUUACCACAAUCAUAUGGAUAAGGAACUGUCAGGUCAGGCCCUCUCCCAUCAUGCAACAAUGUAGAAUCUGCUUUAUAAAGUCAAUGGAAAACUCUCUUCUUGCUUUAUGAAGAGGUCAGAGAUAAAUAUUCCAGUGCAUUUCUUAAAACAAUGGAGAUAAUGUUGUUUUUUUUUAAUAAGAAAAAAGUAUUCAUAAAAAUUUGGGAGAGAGUUAUAGUGGGCCCUUGAAAAUACUUGUGGUUAAAAGUGUGGUGCUAUUAUAUUUUUGCAAAUGUGAGACGU